GAUGAACGCUGGCGGCGUGCCUAAUACAUGCAAGUCGAGCGAACAGACGAGGAGCUUGCUCCUCUGACGUUAGCGGCGGACGGGUGAGUAACACGUGGAUAACCUACCUAUAAGACUGGGAUAACUUCGGGAAACCGGAGCUAAUACCGGAUAAUAUAUUGAACCGCAUGGUUCAAUAGUGAAAGACGGUUUUGCUGUCACUUAUAGAUGGAUCCGCGCCGCAUUAGCUAGUUGGUAAGGUAACGGCUUACCAAGGCAACGAUGCGUAGCCGACCUGAGAGGGUGAUCGGCCACACUGGAACUGAGACACGGUCCAGACUCCUACGGGAGGCAGCAGUAGGGAAUCGUCCGCAAUGGGCGAAAGCCUGACGGAGCAACGCCGCGUGAGUGAUGAAGGUCUUCGGAUCGUAAAACUCUGUUAUUAGGGAAGAAAAAAUGUGUAAGUAACUAUGCACGUCUUGACGGUACCUAAUCAGAAAGCCACGGCUAACUACG
rnacentral:rRNA from 1 species